ACCAAACAAGGAAAGAUAUAUUAAAUAUUUGAUUCAAAAAGUACAAGCACUAAGGAAUACGAUAUAUUUUGCUUGAUUUAUUUCCGAAUCAUAUUUACUUAUUCCUCUUUGGUUUGAAUUAUUGAUUAUUUUACAUCAACACAAGCAAAAUCACUCUAUCAUCAAACCAAGUUACGGGCUAGAGUAGCACACAACUCCCAUAGAUUUUUCAGUGGCUUUUAUUAUUGAAGGGUCUCCCAGGAUAAUGUAGAUUGUGGAAGUGGCUUGGUCCUGAAGGUGGGAUUAUGCCUUUUGCUAGGGGGAAAUUGGAACUUUUACCUGAAUCCAUUAGCAUCACAGAAGCUCCUUUUUUGUUAUUUUCUUGCUCCAUAGACUGAAAAUUUGGUCGAGUUGCACACACACAGUUAUCGUUUGCUAAUAACAUCAGAAAGAAUAUGAGAGCACAGAGAAAAUGAGUUUUGGCACCUAAGAUACCCAUAAUUUCUUGAUGUUUGGUAAAAAAGAGUUCUUUGGUUCAACUGUUCAAGACACAAUUAUGACUAUUGACAUGAAAACAUUCUUUAUAUAUGUAGUUCUAA
rnacentral:lncRNA from 1 species